rnacentral:rRNA from 1 species
GAUGAACGCUAGCGGCAGGCUUAAUACAUGCAAGUCGAACGGGAUUGAGAAGCUUGCUUUUCAUGAGAGUGGCGCACGGGUGCGUAACACGUAUGCAACCUACCUUGUCCAGGGGGAUAGCCCGUUGAAAGACGGAGUAAGACCGCAUAACAUUGAGCUGUGGCAUCACAAAUCAAACAAAUAUUUAUAGGGACAAGAUGGGCAUGCGCCUGAUUAGGUAGUUGGCGGGGUAAUGGCCCACCAAGCCGACGAUCAGUAGGGGAUCUGAGAGGAUGACCCCCCACACUGGUACUGAGACACGGACCAGACUCCUACGGGAGGCAGCAGUAAGGAAUAUUGGUCAAUGGGCGAAAGCCUGAACCAGCCAUGCCGCGUGCAGGAAGACGGCCCUACGGGUUGUAAACUGCUUUUAUACGGGAAUAACCCCGGUUUCGUGAAACCGGCUGAAUGUACCGUAAGAAUAAGGAUCGGCUAACUCCGUGCCAGCCGCCGCCGUAA